rnacentral:lncRNA from 1 species
UCUGAUGCAGUUAAGAGGUACUAUGUAUGAUUUUCUUGCUUACCUUCAGUAGUAUUUUGUACUUGGCAUAUUCAAAGUUGAAACGAUGAAGGCAUUUUGUUCAGCUAUCCAAACUCUUUCAUCCUUUGCUGCCCUUUUGAGCCUUAUUUAUUUUCUUUCGUACCCCUCUUUCGGAAUCUACAACAGAAAUAAAGGAUAAAGAUGAUGAUGAAUGAGUGAAAAUAAGAAAAAUGAAAAAAAAGAAAAGAAAAGAAGACAAUCAAAAAAGAAAGAGAGAAGAAAAAGAAUAAAAACAAAAAGAAAAGAAGAAAAAGAGAAAAAAAAUAGAGAAGAAAAAAGGAGAGAGAUAAAAGAAAAGGAAAAAAAGAGAAGAGCAACAAGAAUGAACAAUUUUCUUUUGAAAUACGUUCGACCUGAUUCCUUUUAAGGAUACGUAGGCAGCCUUACGGUUCGAUCCCGUAGCAAUAAAAAUUAAAAUUCCCCAGGCCCAAAAAAACUGGGGUAGCAGUUUUGGUUUUGAAAAGAUCUAAUUUCAAAAGUUGUAAUUUUAACUCCUUUUCAUCUUAAAUUAUUUUGAGCCUUCAUGCUACCAUUUCUUUCUAACCCUGUCCAAAAGCCUACAUUACGGUCCAGAGAAAGACCUUCCGAUCAAUCUUUGAGGAUGCCGGGUCAAGCAAGAUAGAGGUAUGAUUUGCAUCAUGG